CUUGGCACUUUGGAAUUGUCACAAGCUCUUUGGGGCGGUUACUCAGUGCCAAAAA
rnacentral:pre_miRNA from 1 species